CAAUGGGCCCUUUUCAGGGCCAACAAAUGUAUACAACAGAGUUAAUU
rfam:Aedes aegypti strain Liverpool supercont1.151 genomic scaffold, whole genome shotgun sequence.